rnacentral:misc_RNA from 2 species
AAGGUUUCGGGUACCCAGUGCCCAAACUUCAACCCUAUGUUUUUACCAAACCUGUUUCUUUGCCGGUUUCGGCCGGCAGAAGUUUUCUCAAACUCAUUAUAAACGUGUCUUCUGAAUCAAAAUUAAAUAAAUUA